UAAACGGGUGGGCCCUCGAAAUCCUGAGGCAGGGGGAUUCAGUCAGGAAAGGCCGAGGUGAUGUGUGGUUACAUGAACGGACCCUCUCCGGGGACGGAUCACCGUCGCGGUCUUGGCUUGACCUGACGCAUUUCCUCCUGCACGAGGACGCCGCAUCCGGUUGGGUAGCUGCGUGAGUCGGCCAUAAGGGUAAGCAAUGGAAGGUGGCCGGUGGCGUCGCAUCCGCUUCGCCGCCGGUUGUUAGACGGUUUACCCGUGGCGCGACACCCGACCGAGGUUAACUUGUUCCCGCAUGGGGACUAGCCGUCCUCUUCACCUGGAGUGGAUGCUUCGGAAAGUGUUUCCCAGUGUCGCCUUCUCACUCUCUGCAGUGUUGGGCGCUCUGGGUUCACUGUUCGCCGGACGCUACCACGGAGGUGCAUACGGCUAGCGGCGAGUGAGUCGGUCACCCACCCGACCCGUCUUGAAACACGGACCAAGGAGUCUAACAUGUGCGCGAGUCACGGGGUCUUGAAUAGGCCCAGAGGCGCAAUGAAAGUGAAAGCCGGCUACCUGUCGGCUGUGUUGGGAUCUCUCGCCCUUUGCGGCGGGAAAGCACCAACGAUCCGUCCUAUCCGAUUUAUCGGUUGGCCGGAAUCUGAGCGUACACGUUGGGACCCGAAAGAUGGUGAACUAUGCCUGGGCAGGACGAAGCCAGAGGAAACUCUGGUGGAGGUCCGUAGCGGUUCUGACGUGCAAAUCGAUCGUCAGACCCAGGUAUAGG
rnacentral:rRNA from 1 species